AACGUAGGAGACAAACGUUAUCCGGAGUUACUGGGCGUAAAGGGCGUGUAGGUGGUUUCGUAAGUCUGGCGUGAAAUUUUUCGGCUUAACCGGGAAAGGUCGUCGGAUACUGCGGAGCUAGAGGACGGUAGAGGCGUGUGGAAUUCCGGGUGUAGUGGUGAAAUGCGUAGAGAUCCGGAGGAACACCAGUGGCGAAGGCGACACGCUGGGCCGUACCUGACACUGAUGCGCGACAGCAUGGGGAGCAAACGGG
rnacentral:rRNA from 1 species